UGCUUUGUGAGGUAAAAUGUUAUCUGUAGGGUCAAACACAGUUCUUUGAUGGUAUGCUGACAAUGUGCUGCUGGUCUGCCAGACUCCUGGGAUUCAGACACUGAGGAGAUUCCCCCAACCCUCCAACUUUUUGGAGCAAAGAAAAUAAAGGGCCCAAAAACAAAUCCUGGUGCUUCCCUGUGUGGACUUAGGUGGUAUGGCACGUGCCUUUCUCUUGGAAAUUGCACUAUUACUGGCUAUUCCAUGUGCUGAAGAAGCUUGCUGUGGCUUGCAGUCACCCAGAGAGGUGUUUUCAGGCAAGUCAAGCAGCUGUUGUCUUCUGAGUCUGACUUUCUCCCUUCCUUCCUUC